UCAGUUUAGUUUAUUUUAUGGUCAAAGUUGUUAUUAAUUUGAAAGAGGAAGAUAUUGAGGAAGUUUAUGAGAAGAGAUUGAAGAAGAUAAUUGUGAAGUUUGUUUUUUGUUCUUACUGUAACAAGACAUCAAGAGAGAGAAGAGUUAUAUCCUUUUUUUUAAAAGUUAUUUUUUAUUUGCCUUGCCAUGUGUCACCCGUUGAAUCGAUAUGCAUGAAUCUUGAAAAUAUACCAUGCUGGAUGUUACCGCCCCUCUCUCCUUUUUCAAUUUCAUUUUCAUUUUUUUUAUUUUCUUUUAUUAUUUUUAUUAUUAUUAUUAUUUUUGUUUAGUAAUUAGGUUCUAUUUUAAUGAGAUGGUCAUUGGACUUUUAUGUCUUACACACCCUUGCCGACAUAUAAACCCCUCUAUGUUUUUUUUCUUUUCAUUUUAUUAUUUAUUUGUUUAGUUUAAAAUAGUAAUUAUUUAUUUAUUUAUUUAUUUGGUUAGUUGACUAUAUUUUAAUUGAUUAAUUGAUUUUUAUUUAUUUCAUUGCUAAAUAUAUUAUUUAAUUAAUUGAUU
rnacentral:lncRNA from 1 species